AAAUCACCUCCUAAAAGCAAGUUAUUGUAUAGCACGGACACGAGAAACAUAGUUGUCCAGUGCUGUACUGCUAUUACCACCAAACGACGCCGGUUUGCCCUCACCUCGAACAUAAAAACAGUGUAAAAGACUGAGCUGAGCUGAGCAGAGCAGAGCAGCAGAGAGAGAAAGGGAGCGAUGUUAGCAAUAGGGAGCGCGAUUCGAAGGAUCCACACAACUGUAGAUGCUCCACGCCUCACCAGAUUCGCUCUUCAUCCCCCUAAAUCUGUAGAGGUGGGAUUUGCUGAUGGUAGCAUCUUUAAUUUGUCAGCUGAAUUUCUAAGAGUACACAGCCCAGCUGUUGACAGCAAGAUCAGGUCUAUUGGUGGUGAAAAGGUGAUUUCUGGAAGGCGUCAUGUGGGAAUCAUGUCUGCAGAGCCUGUAGGAAACUACGGGGUAAGGAUUGUUUUUGAUGACUUGCAUAAAACUGGGAUAUAUUCGUGGGAUUAUUUUUAUGAGCUUGGUAGCAACAAAUUUACCCUCAUGAGAAAUUAUAUCAAAACAUUAAAGAAGCAUGGACUCACCCGGGAUCCACGUAGAAGAAAAUAGCGGACUUAUGUCAUAUCAUCCUAGCUUGUUCUUCAAUUGACGUCAUAUCGUCUUAUCUAGCAAGAUUGAUUGCUGGAGACCUUAAAAGAGAAUUAAUCAUUCUUGUUGACAAUAUAGGCUAUCAUCAUGCACCUGUAGUGUAAAUCAGUUGGCCUUCGAAACCUUAACUGAUUUGUUGAGCUGUUUAUAUGUACUUCCAGAUUAUUUUACUUCCCUGAUAAUCUCUUCAUAAUAUCUUGGAUCGAAAUAAAUGAAAAGUGAUUUAGAAAAAUGGUUCAGCUGAUUUAUAUACUAGUUUUGUACUAAUCUCUUGGUUAUCUAUAUGACAGGAUUAUACAUAAAUGGAAUGUAACCUAACCAUUGUAUCACUUUUAAUUUA